AAACAUCUAUUUGUGCAAAAGGGGGUUACGCUUGUUCUGUCCAGUUCCAGAGAGAAGGAAAAUGACCAGAGGUGGAAGUGACAAGGGGGAAAAUUCCAGCUUAUCUUGAUAUGGAAGAACAUUAGAAUUGAGCAGUAGAAGCAGUUGCUUCACAAACCGCCUGUUUUCAGAAGUGUUCAAGAACACUAUGUUAAGAAUGUCAAAAUUCAGCAGGAAAGCCCUUCAGUCGCAGGAGUCAGCAGACCCGGGAAUUUGGGAGCCAACUGAAUAAUUUUUGGACCCAUGAAUUAGAAGAGAAUGGCCUUGGCCUUAUGCCAACAGGGAAUACUUUGAGGACUCCCACUGUCCCUGUUUUGGGCCCUGAAAUCCUUGUGUUAGUCAUUUUUCUAGUUAGCAACUCUUUGAAGGCCUCAAAGACAGAUGUGAUAGCAGUCCUUUAUCCAGGGGCUGAGACCGAUCCCUGCCUAAUCCAACAGUUAGGACUUAGGAGAGGGGACUCUGGUAGAUUUGGUCCAAAUUAACAAGCAUGGCAAAGGCUGAUAUGAAGCCUGGGGAGGAGGAGGUUCUGAAACUAAGAGCUGUGGGUGCCAAGUACCCACAGCUUGGCCCUAGUUGUCACUCCUGCCAUUUGGAAGCUCACCUUUAAGAAGAGAUGCUGACAUCUUAGCAAGGCUGCAGUGUCCGCUGCUACUCUCGGAGCUUCGCAAUGCCGCCCAAGGAUGACAAGAAGAAGAAGGACACUGGAAAGUCGGCCAAGAAAGACAAAGACCCAGUGAACAAAUCCGAGGGCAAGGCCAAAAAGAAGAAGUGGUCCAAAGGCAAAUUUCGAGACAAGUUCAAUAACUUAGCCUUGUUUGACAAAGCUACCUAUGACAAACUCUGUAAGGAAGUUUCCAACAAUAAACUUAUAACCCCAGCUGUGGUCUCUGAGACACUGAAGAUUCGAGGCUCCCUGACCAGGGCAGCCCUUCAGGAGCUCCUUAGUAAAGGACUUAUCAAACUGGUUUCAAAGCACAGAGCUCAAGUAAUUUACACCAGAAAUACCAAGGGCGGAGAUGCUCCAGCUGCUGGUAAAGAUGAAUGAAUAGGUCCAACCAACUCUACAUUUGGAAAAAUAAAACUUUAUUAAAUAAAAAAAAAA